rnacentral:tRNA from 1 species
UUAAAAAUAAGCUAAGUUAAGCUUUUGGGUUCAUACCUCAAAUAUAAAGAUAAUAUCUUUUUUUUAAA